rnacentral:rRNA from 1 species
CCUACGGUGGGCAGCAGUGAGGAAUAUUGGUCAAUGGGCGCGAGCCUGAACCAGCCAAGUCGCGUGAGGGAAGACGGUCCUAUGGAUUGUAAACCUCUUUUGUCGGGGAGCAAAAGACGCCACGCGUGGCGUUCCGAGAGUACCCGACGAAAAAGCAUCGGCUAACUCCGUGCCAGCAGCCGCGGUAAUACGGGGGCUGCGGGCGUUAUCCGGAUUUAUUGGGGUUAAAGGGGGCGCAGGCGGAAGAUCAAGUCAGCGGGAAAAUUGAGAGGCUCAACCUCUUCGAGCCGUUGAAACUGGUUUUCUUGAGUGAGUGAGAAGUAUGCGGAAUGCGUGGUGUAGCGGUGAAAUGCAUAGAUAUCACGCAGAACUCCGAUUGCGAAGGCAGCAUACCGGCGCUCAACUGACGCUCAUGCACGAAAGUGUGGGUAUCGAACAGGAUUAGAUACCCGGGUAGUC